rnacentral:rRNA from 1 species
GAUGAACGCUAGCUACAGGCUUAACACAUGCAAGUCGAGGGGAAACGAUAUUGGAAGCUUGCUUCCGAUAGGCGUCGACCGGCGCACGGGUGAGUAACGCGUAUCCAACCUGCCCACCACUUGGGGAUAACCUUGCGAAAGUAAGACUAAUACCCAAUGAUAUCUCUAGAAGACAUCUGAAAGAGAUUAAAGAUUUAUCGGUGAUGGAUGGGGAUGCGUCUGAUUAGCUUGUUGGCGGGGUAACGGCCCACCAAGGCGACGAUCAGUAGGGGUUCUGAGAGGAAGGUCCCCCACAUUGGAACUGAGACACGGUCCAAACUCCUACGGGAGGCAGCAGUGAGGAAUAUUGGUCAAUGGGCGAGAGCCUGAACCAGCCAAGUAGCGUGCAGGAAGACGGCCCUAUGGGUUGUAAACUGCUUUCAGUCGGAAUAACUCGUCGGUCGUGACCGACGUUGCAGGUACCGUCAUAAGAAGGACCGGCUAAUUCCGUG